GCGAACGCUGGCGGCAGGCUUAACCCCUGCAAGUCGAACGGGCAUAGCAAUAUGUCAGUGGCAGACGGGUGAGUAACGCGUGGGAACGUACCUUUUGGUUCGGAACAACACAGGGAAACUUGUUCUAAUACCGGAUAAGCCCUUACGGGGAAAGAUUUAUCGCCGAAAGAUCGGCCCGCGUCUGAUUAGCUAGUUGGUAGGGUAAUGGCCUACCAAGGCGACGAUCAGUAGCUGGUCUGAGAGGAUGAUCAGCCACAUUGGGACUGAGACACGGCCCAAACUCCUACGGGAGGCAGCAGUGGGGAAUAUUGGACAAUGGGCGAAAGCCUGAUCCAGCCAUGCCGCGUGAGUGAUGAAGGCCCUAGGGUUGUAAAGCUCUUUUGUGCGGGAAGAUAAUGACGGUACCGCAAGAAUAAGCCCCGGCUAACUUCGUG
rnacentral:rRNA from 1 species